CAGCAGCUGCACUGCUGGUGCUCUGAGGAUGCUUUCCAUGAUGGAGAUUUCUGAGGGACAGCUUUUGUGGUGUUUGAAAUAUGGGCAUCAUCUCCUCUCUGAAUACCCAGCAGGCUCUUGGAGCACAAGAGGAGCGUGGCUCAGGGACCAGCCUGGAACUAAAGGAGCCAGUUGCAUCAGCAGAAGAGCAGAAGAGAGAGAGGCCUGAAUUCUCCACUGUGCCCAGGAGAAGUGGCGAGCAGGUGGAACCUGACAGGAGAAUCAGAGCUUUUAGGAGACUCUUCCUCCCAGACUACUUCAUGUUCUCUGUCCACAAGUCUGCCCAUCAAAAUUGGUCCACUUUUGAAACAGAAGAGUCCUCCAGUAGCUCAGGAGAGUAGCAGCCCUCGUGCUGAUGCACAGCCUGUGGAGAAGAGGGUGUCCCUGCUGCAGUCACAGCUGGCCCGAGACCGACAGCACCACCUGGAGAGCUGUGCAGGGAGCAGGCAGGAGACACAAGGUGCAGAAGGGACCUCCUUGCUUCCUGAACAUCUCAGAGAGGAGCCAGCUGGAUGCAGUUUUAGACGUAGUCAGUAGUUUAUGUUUAAAGGUUGUAUAGUAUAGGAUAGUAUAGGUAAUAGUAAUUGAACCUUUAUACAACUGUGUUCCAUAGGAUGAAGGAUAUAUUGAUAGAGAAAUAAAGAGUUUAUUCUGAUCACAAUUAAACUAAAAGAUCUUUUUCAGGCUUAUUUACUGCCCAGUACAGAGACCUGUAACUUCCAGUAUAGUGCAUUAUAUCUGAAACAACAUUGAAGCAAUUCCAGUCAAGUCAGCAAAAACCAAUUCUUAAAGAUUGAUGCUACUCACCCAAACCCAUGACCAUGGGCAAACCUUUCUCUCAGUCUCAAGGCGUGACCUUGAGGAGCAUCCUCACUCCAGGAAGGAACCUGCAGAAGGGACACAUGUGCCAUGCACCACUUUGGUGAGGG